AAAUUCAGCGUUGGAAAGACGCUUGGUCGGACCUUCCCUCCUCUUUUCAUCUGCCGUCACUCUUUUUAACGUAAUCGUUCUCAUUGGCCAGCUCCCUUCCGUGGGUUUCUGAUUGGGUGUUACUGUCGAGGUUUGCUUUACGUUAUUAUGCUUGAAUUGUUGAUUCAUUCCCGAAACACUACUAAGCCCACAUUCUCGACGAACCAUCUCUCUAUUUUCAAUUUCAGGGCUAGUUACAUCAUCUUGGCCAAACCUAUGGGCUCCAGCGUUUCAACUUCGGAUUUAUGCCAUGGGCUUAGCCCAUUCAUAAAGGUUUCUUCUAAUACUAUGGUCUGGAGGAAGGCUACCGGAGCUAAAUAUUUAUCGAAACUGUUUCUAUAUUCCCCUACUGUCGUUUCCUGCUUAAUCCUUAAGAAUCUGCCUACGAGUGUUCCAUCCCGAAUCGUCUGAAAUCGGACAACAACCUUUGCUUCAAAUCUUCCCAACUCUUGAAUUGUUCCAAUUCAUCAAUUGAUCUAUACCAAUCCAAAGCUGGUCCUAAUAACUGAUUACCGCUACCAUUAACUUCUCUGAGUCAGUCAACUUGUGUAUCUUGAAAUAACGAUCGGCGCGAAAUAACCAUGAAUCGGGGUCUAUUCCAUUGAAGAUCGGGAUCUCUACCUUCUUGAACUUGCUCCGGUCUGUUGUUUUUUCCUCGUCUUUCCUUCCAUAUUUCUUCGAUCCUUCCGAUAUUUCUGAACAUUCGUUUCGAUCCCUUUUGUGUGGCUCACUGCGCCUUCUGUUUUCUUUCCCUUUUGUGUGGCUCACAUCCUAAACACAUCCUUUGUUUUACUGCUAAACCAAUGACAGAGUGGCUAACAUGUGUAGAACAUGGACUCUGGCAAACUAAAGUGUGUACUUCUUAACUAGUCCCUAUUCGAUGCUUAAUUAUGAAAUUAUAUUUUCCAAUUCAAAUUAUAGCAUUAGUCUCUUUACAUUUACUUAGUGAGAAGUCUCCUUUCCUGGUAAUGAAAAAAUUGUAUUCCAAAUAAAUGGCAUACUAUAUAAUCAAUUAUUUGACAAUUAUUUUUAGAAAGUUUAAGAAUUCUUCUGACUAAUGAUGAAAAGAGGACGACUUCAUAUUUAUUAUUAAGUUGUGUUCACACUGCUCAAAGCCCUAACCCAUGUAUAUGAUUGUUGUUCGGUAGUGACAUUUGUUUGUAGCUUCUCUGAACUUUUCACUGAGAAAUUCUAUAGGACACCUUCUAAUGAGUUAAAUUCCUAUCCAAAUUGUGGAAGUAUAUAUGACUUAAUUAAACAAUAAUGCAUCAUUGCGUACUCUAGUGGGAUGGUGUUGUUGUCACCACCCCCUCCCAAAGCUCCUUAUUUUCUGAACAACAUCUAGCUCUGAAAGAAGGUGCGAGGGUUGGCAAGGAUUGCCAUACCUUGGCAAAACUUACCAACCGACUAACCUUUCUAACUUAACUACCAGUUACAACAUGAAUGCAUGCUCAAAACAAACAGCGAUACAAGCUACAUGCUUUUACUAAUAACUUAAACCACUAGUUACAACUAUUGUGAUACAUCAGCAGAAGCUUUAAACAUGACAGUGACCUUUUUACUAAACUAACUUAUAACAUUGGAACUUUAACAAUAAACAUAGACAUGCUCAUCCUGAACUUUUCUUACAAAGUCAAAACUAACUUUCAAAAUGACUUAACAAUUUCUAGUAACUGGUUGGCUCAGCAGCAAUACGCUUAACAUUAGGGAAUGCAUAAUCCAUACCUGAAAAGUGAGAAAUGAUUUGAAAGGAUAAGUCGAAAGACUUAGUGAGUGACAAUUUUUAUAAAACAUGCUUUCUAAAACAGUUAAGCAUAAAUUCUUGUCUUAUAGAAACAUUCAAGCUGUUGGAAAUCAUUUGAAAGACAUGAUACUCGAACUGCAUUCUUGAUUAUAAAUUCACAACCCGUUCUUAGCAUGAAGUCUAGGUAAUAUUAACACCUCAUUGUCAAAAGACGGCCUAGGCAUUGAAACACCUCUUCGAAAAAAGAAGGUAUCCUUCUCCUCAAUGGGCUCAACAAAGUACACCUUUCCUGAUGAAUUCAGCAUAGGCUCGUCAACUUUCCCAUUAGUAGUAGAGUUAACCAAAUGUGCACAUACGACCGUAAAGAGAACAUAGAACAUAUGGGCUGCUGGUUGCAUUGCAUAGAACAUCCGCAUGCUCGAACAUCCAGAAUUUGCUCAAAAUUUCCCAAAACACCAAACAUCCCAAAAACUACGUCAUGACAAUGCUGGCUGCACGGCAUGGGCGCAGGCAGCAUGCACGUGCAUAGAGUAUCAGAAUGCCAGUUGCAUGCUUGGCUUGGGCCCACACAUGCCGCGUGCACCUCACCGCAUGCUGUCAUAAUCGUAAAUUUUCAAAUAGGGGAUGGUGAUUAUGCGACGUUUGUUCUAGCUCGGUGAACAAGUAAGCUGUAUGAAAUCCAGAAGUCGCAAAAAGCACGCAGUACGGUAUAGCCUCUUUCAUGUUUUGAGAGAAAUUUAUUUUUAUAAGACAAGAAGAGAAGAAAAGAAUUGAAAACAUCGUUAAAGAAAGCAUUGAAGACUGUUAAUUGCAAAGAAAGAUUAGAAUGCAAAGAGUGCAACAAGGCUUGGUCAGGGAUUCAACUACUAUGUCUUCCCUAUAGUACAUUUUAAACAUUUUUAGCUAUGACAGACUUGCAUAUGAAAAUUUUGAAACGUCACACCCUAGGUCGGCGACAACAAAAGGAAACAAAAUGGCUAAACUAAGUAUAAGACAUAAAUAUAAGGCGGUUUGAGGAUGUUCGGCCAUGCGGCCAUGGGCAAACAAUGCCUUGGACAAGCAUGCUCUUGACAUUCUCCCCUACUUAAACAGUUGACGUCCCUGUCGACUGGCGAAGCUGGAACUCUUUGAUCUUCCAUUUCCACACUUCAAGGUCUUCGACACGUUCACAAUUUGUUUCUUCCACAUGGAGGUUCUUCUACUUGACCAAGAAUUCGUGGAUUCUCCCAAUAGUGUUAAAUUGUGUUGGUUGAUCUGAAAUUCCUUGUAGUGGUUGUAAUCUGAUGCGUAGAAUUUCUUGACAACCUCCAUCGAAUCUUGGAAGUCCCUUGAAGAACUUACUCCAUCCAAACGCCCCAAUUGGGGCGUCCAUAAACUCUCGGAGGGCCACGUCGAAAGGAAAGGUCCUUCUCUACCUUCACUUUGCUGGCAAUGCUAAACUUUGGGGCCUUGCCUCCCUCGCCACCUUGUUGGCUUCCCUCAGGAACCUUAUUUGAUCGUGAAAUUGGAAUCUGCUGAGAAGACGUGGAAAAAAUUAUCGGUUAAGCUGGUCAAUCCAGAUAUUGUCUCAAACCCCACAGAGUAUCAAAAACUAGCUCAAUCAAUAUCAGAACUUGAUGAGGUGGUAUCUACUUUUAGAAAAUUCAAGGAAUGUGAGGCCAAAGCUAAGUGGGAACGAUGAGGAUAUGGUAGAGAUGAUUGCUUUAGAAAUCAGUUCUUUAUCCAGUGAGCUCAAAGAUAUCGAAGAGAAGCUUAAGGUGCUUUUGGUUCAUGAACAUGAUUUUUGCAUGUGGAAUUGAAGCCUUUGUAACAUCUGAUCUUCAGGGUUUAUCUGAGUAGGGGCAAAAAUCACUUGAAGCUCUAAAGCCAAAACUGAAGGUAGGCGUUGAGAAGGGUUUUGCUUUUAUACAUAAGCAAGUUGUAGCUGCUUAAAAACUCUCAUUUCAAGAACAUUCAUGGAGAGUAGAUUGAAUCCCAAUAAUCGAAUUGCAACUUUUUUAGUAGUUUGUAUGUUUCCAUUUUACCUCGUAAUUAUAAAAAUAAUGUAUUCGUUUCAUUAGGAGUUCCUAGUAAUUAAAAAUUUUGUAAUAACACGGUUUAGUUAAACUAUGCAUCUCACCAAAAAUACACUUGGAUUGUGUUUUUUGGGUCAAUACCAGAAAAAGUAUAUAAUCUAUAUGUUGGCGAUGUUCUUUGAGAGUGAAGAACGUUCCAUGUUCA